UCCAGCUUCCAAGUCACCUCUGCUCCGCUUCCACGCUCUUUCUAGUACCAGCAGCAGAGCUAGCAAAGAGCAAACGCGUCACCGGCCACCAGAUCUCCCACCCCCGCCUCCGAUGAAUCCACCCGCCGCCGCCUAGUCGCGCCGCCCCGGGUGCCCCACCACCACACUCCGCGCCACCGCACCGCCCAAUGUCGUCGUCGGAGCCCGAUGCCGAGGGCGCCCUCGGCGGUGGCGCCUCCCCAUCCGCCCGCGUGCUCGCCCGCGCCCUCGACAAGAUCAUCAAGCACUCCUCCUGGCGCCGACACGCCGCGCUCGUCGCCGCCUCCAAGUCCGCGCUCGACCUCCUCUCCUCCUCCUCCUCCUCCUCCUCCUCCCCGGCUCCUGAUGACGAGCCCGACACCUCCUCGCCCGCCUCCCCCGUCCCCGGCCUCCCAGCGCCCGCCGCCGACGCCGCCCUCGCCGCGCUUCUCAUCGCGCUCGACCCGGCGUCCCCGAAGGUGGCCGAGCCCGCGCUCGAGUGCGUCGCCGGCCUCCUCUCCCUCCGCCUCCUCCUCGGCGACGUCGACGCCGCCGACCCCUCCCCGGUCUCGAAGCUCUUCGCCGCGGUGCUCUCCUGCGUCUCGCUCGGUGGCGGCGGGGACGAAGCGCUCGAGCUCGCCGUGCUGCGCGUGCUCGUCGCGUUCGCGCGGUGCCCGGGCGUCUCCGUCAGCGGGGACUGCCUGGGCCAGGUGGUCAAGGCGUGCUACAACGUCUACCUCGGGAGCGCCAGCGGCGGCAACCAGCUCUGUGCCAAACUGGCCCUCGCACAGGUGCUGGUCAUCGUGUUCGCGCGCGUCGAGGCCGACGCCAUGGACGUCCGCGUGCGCACUGUCUCCGCUGCCGACAUGAUGGACCUCUCUGACCGCAGCCUCAACGACUCCAGCGUCGUACAGGCGGCUCAAGUGUUCAUAAACGAGGCCAUGGAAGGGAGCGACGUGCCGGAGGAGGCACCCCCUGUAGAUGCGGCGUCAGUUGAGGGGGAAGGCACUGGGGAGGAUAGUGGAUUAAGCAAGAUCAGGGAGGAUGGCCUAGCAUUGUUCAAGAACCUAUGCAAGUUGUCAAUGAAGUUUGGUACUCCUGAUAGCCCGGAUGAUCCAAUGCUAUUGAGGGGGAAGGUGUUGUCGCUGGAGCUGGUUAGGAUGGUCAUUGACAAUGCAGGGUCAUUCUGGAAGACGAAUGAAAAGUAUCUUGAAGCAGUUAAGCAGUACCUUUGUUUAUCCUUGUUGAAGAAUAGUGCCUUGUCCGCAAUGAGUGUCUUCCAAUUAUUGUGUUCCAUCUUUAUGAGUCUAAUAUCAAGGUUUAGAUCUGGUUUGAAAGAGGAAAUUGGAAUGUUUUUUCCUAUGCUUAUCUUAAGAGUUCUUGAAAAUGUUCUCCAGCCUAGCUUUUUGCAGAAGAUGACAGUUCUAAACUUUUUGGAGAAGAUAUCUAAAGAACCUCAGGUUAUUAUUGAUAUCUUUGUGAACUUUGAUUGUGAUGUUGACGCACCAAAUAUUUUUGAAAGGAUUAUCAAUGGACUUCUAAAGACUGCUUUAGGUGUCCCUACUGGAUCUACAACAACAUUAACUGUUGCACAAGACCAAACAUUUAGGAUUGAGUCUGUCAAGUGCCUUGCAACUGUUGUUAAGUCGAUGAGUGCAUGGAUGGACCAACAACUGAGAAUUGGUGAAUUUUCACCAGGCAGUUCUGAAACUCUAAGUUCAGCUGACAACCAUAAUAUUCAUAAUGGAGAAGAAGGGAGCGGAAUAGAUUAUGAACUGCAGUCUGACACUAGUACUGACAUAACCGACUCUUCCUCACUUGAGCAACGGCGUGCUUACAAGAUGGAGCUUCAGAAAGGAAUUGCCUUGUUCAACAAAAAACCUUCCAAAGGUAUUGAUUUUCUCAUUCGGAGCAAGAAAAUAGGCAAUUCUCCAGAAGAUGUGGCUUCUUUCUUGAGAAGUACUGCUGGAUUAAAUGCAACAAUGAUAGGCGACUAUUUGGGUGAGAGAGAUGACUUUCCCCUGAAAGUAAUGCAUGCUUAUGUGGAUGCUUUAAACUUCAAAGGCAUGGACUUUGGUCAAGCAAUUAGGUUCUUCUUGCAAGGUUUCAGGUUACCAGGAGAAGCUCAAAAAAUUGACCGGAUCAUGGAAAAAUUUGCUCAAUGCUACUGUAAAUGCAACCCAAAUGCUUUUAUUAGUGCAGAUACAGCAUAUGUUCUUGCUUAUUCUGUGAUCUUGCUAAACACUGAUGCUCAUAAUCCAAUGGUGAAGAACAAGAUGUCUAAGGCAGAUUUUAUGCGCAACAAUCGAGGAAUAGAUGAUGGGAAGGAUUUGCCAGAAGAUUAUCUGAGUGCACUGUAUGACCAUAUUGUCAACAAUGAAAUCAAAAUGAGUGCUGAUUCUUCAGUUGCACAAACCAAGCAAUCCAAUAGUGUAGGCAGGCUUCUAGGCUUGGACAAUAUUAUCAACUUUGUCAAUUGGAGACCAGCAGAAGACAAGGCAGUAGGAGCAAAUGACUUGCUUAUUAAGCACAUACAGGAAAAAUUCAAAGCAAAACGUGGGAAAUCAGAGUCCACAUUUUAUGUUGUUGCUGAUGCAACCAUUUUAAGAUUCAUGAUGGAGUCCUGUUGGGCACCUAUGAUGGCUGCAUUCAGUGUGCUCCUUGAUCAGUGUGAUGAUAAGGCUGCUACAUCACAGUGUUUGAAAGGAUUAAGAUUUUCCGUUCACAUCACUUCUGUUAUGUGCAUGCAGACACAGAGGGAUGCUUUCUUGACAUCCAUAGCCAAAUUCACAUCCCUACAUUCUGCUGCAGACAUGAAGCAAAAAAAUAUUGAUUCUAUGAAGGCUAUAAUAUCUAUCGCAAUCGAAGAUGGCAAUUACUUGCAGGAAGCUUGGGAGCAUGUAUUAACUUGUUUGUCACGGUUUGAGCACUUACAUCUGCUUGGAGAAGGGGUUCCCACUGAUGCAUCCUUUCUGACAGUACCUCUGAUUGAGUCAGAAGAAAAAACUAAGAAGUCUACUUCUGCUCUAUCUUCUAAGAAGACUAAUGCUCUUCAGAAUCCUGCUGUGAUCGCUGCCGUUAGAGGGGGUACUUAUGAUAGCACAGUGGCAAAAGGCAGUGUGUCAGCACUAGUCACUCCUGAACAGAUCAAUAAUUUCCUAUCAAGCAUUAAUUUGUUGGAUCAAAUUGGCAUUGUUGAGUUAAAUCAUAUCUUCGCCCAUAGCCAAAGAUUAAACAGUGAUGCUAUUGUUGCUUUUGUGAAGGCUCUUUGCAAGGUCUCAAUGACUGAGCUGCAGUCUCCAACAGAUCCUCGUAUCUUCUGCCUUACUAAAAUAGUAGAGAUUGCGCAUUACAAUAUGAAUCGCAUACGUCUGGUGUGGUCGCGUAUUUGGAAAGUUUUGUCAGACUUUUUUGUGUCUGUUGGGUUGUUAGAAAAUCUCUCUGUCGCUAUAUUUGUGAUGGACUCUCUGAGGCAGCUGGCUAUGAAGUUUCUAGAAAGGGAGGAACUGGCGAACUAUAACUUUCAAAAUGAGUUCCUUAGACCUUUUGUGAUUGUUAUGCAGAGGAGCAAUGCUCCAGAAGUACGAGAGCUGAUUGUUAGGUGCGUCUCACAGAUGGUUCUGAGUCGGGUUAAUAAUAUAAAGUCUGGGUGGAAGGGUGUUUUUAUGGUUUUUACUUCUGCCGCAGCUGAUGAUACAAGAAGUACUGUCCUAUUGGCAUUUGAGACGGUGGAAAAAAUUGUUCGAGAUUAUUUUCAUCACAUAACUGAAACAGAGACAACAACAUUUACUGAUUGUGUUACUUGUCUUAUUGCAUUUACGAGUAGUCAGUUUAGCAGUGAUGCCAAUCUCAAUGCUAUUGCAUUUCUACGAUACUGUGCUGUUAAACUUGCUGAGGAAGGAUUUGUUUGUCAAGAUAGGGCUUUUGAACAACCCAGGAAUUCAGCCGUUAUGUGUGGUGGAAAUGCCACUGUGCAAAAAGAUGGUCAUAUUUCCCUCUGGGAGCCUCUCCUUGCAGGUUUGGCUAAAUUGACAACUGAUCCAAGACUGACUAUCAAGAAAGGUGCUGUAGGAGUACUUUUUGACAUUUUAAAGGAUCACGGACACCUGUUUUCGCUGACUUUUUGGACUGAUAUCUUCGAACGUGUUGUUUACCCUCUAUUUAGCAAUGAAAGGACCACAAGCAGUGACCAGAUUUCAACAUCAAAUUCCGUUGAGUAUAAUUUACCUGAUCUUGAAACACAAACAUUUGCAGUGAAAUGCUUGGUGGGUUUGUUUGUUAAUUUCUUUGAUGUGAUACGGCCAGAACUUGGUAGAACAGCAUCCAUUGUUACAUUUUUCAUCAGAAGCCCCUACAAACAUUGUGCUACUAUUGGUGUAUCUGCAAUUAUGCGUUUGGCAGAGGGGGUUGGUAACAAACUUACCAAGGAGGAAUGGAAAGAGAUAUUGAUCUUCUUUAAAGAAUCAGUGAUGCACACCUUCGUCACGUUCUCUAAAAUUGUAAGAAUGAUGCAAGAUAUUGAUAUCCCAGAUAGAAUUGAUUCUUAUUCAGAAACCGAGCAAUAUUUGGAUCAAGAGAUGUAUGGUAAUGAUGAAGAGGAGGCAAAUAUGGAGACAACUUCUUAUGCUAUUGUCAAACUAAAGAAUCAUAUGGCCCUACUGCUCAUGGUGAUUCAGAACAUUACUAAAUUAUAUGAGGAGCAUAGCAAAUAUCUCCAUGCCGAGCAUAUUAGCAUUCUUUUGGAAAUGAUGUCCGCUAUUGUGACACAUUCAAGUGAAGUGAACUCUGAAUCAUCCUUGCAGAUGAAAUUUAAUAAAGCAUGUUCUCUUUUGGAGGUAUCUGAGCCAGCAACUGUUCAUUUUGAGAACGAAUCCUACCAGAGUUACCUCAAACUUCUUCAAGUUCUGCAACAUGACUAUCCAUCCUUGUCAGAAGAAAUAAACAUAGAGUCUCAAGUGCUUGAUACCUGUGAGAAAAUAUUGCAAACAUAUCUGAAGUGUGCAGGACACAAACCAUGUGAUAAAGCGUCUCAAAGAAAUCCAUCUUUACAUUGUGCAGUGCCGCUGAGCGCUGCAAAGAAAGAGGAAUUGGCUGCUAGGACUCCUCUGGUCCUUCAAGUGAUGAAAUUGCUGGGUGAUCUGGAGAGGGAUUCUUUUAGCAGAAUAUUACCCUGCUUUUUCCCAUUGUUGGUUGAUCUGAUCCGCUGUGAACAUAGCUCUGGAGAAGUUCAACAUGCACUCUACAAUAUCUUCCAAUCAACCCUUCUCCCCAUGAUACGAGUUUGAUAGCAGAUUGUGACCCACCAAUUGUACAGUUUUGUGACCCCACUUUGGUGAUGUAAUUCAGUUCAUAUGGCAUCACCCCACUAUGAGGGGUUAUACCUAUAGGUUGACGUAAAAAAUGCUGCAGGGUCUGCCAUUCAGCUGAAGGUCUAUGGAGCAUCUUUGUUAAUAUUCAUUUAAUCAAUGAUGCUCUUUUCAUGUGCUGGGGACAGGCAGAAAUACACACGGGUAUGGAAUCAUAGCCUAUGCACCCAGGCAAUUUUCCAUGACCCAAAAGUCAGGUGACCUCGGCUUCCUCAGGCCCAAUGUUACCAUUGUCCAUUGUCAUCCCACGAUCGAGUUUAUAUAUAGCACCAGAGCUAAGAACCGUUUUGAAGUUACUACUGGCUUUCACAGUCGAUUCUUUUUUCUUUUGUUACAAAACCAUAAACUAGAGGUAGAUGCCACCUAAAUACCAUUGUCAAUUUUGCUCUUCUUUUUUUCUUUGAGUUGUAUGUAGUAUUUUUUAUCCAUAGAAACACUCGAAUAGUAUCAUGAAUAUGUUCCCCUGUUUUUGCCCCA